CUACCAUGGCGAUCACGGGUAACGGAGAAUUAGGGUUCGAUUCCGGAGAGGGAGCCUGAGAAACGGCUACCACUUCUAUGGAAGGCAGCAGGCGCGUAAAUUACCCAAUCCUGACUAAGGGAGGUAGUGACAAGAAAUAUCGAAUCGGGUGUUGAUACACUGCGAGUUUGAAAUGAGAACAACCUAAAAAACUUAACGAGGAGCGAUUGGAGGGCAAGUCUGGUGCCAGCAGCCGCGGUAAUUCCAGCUCCGAUAGCGUAUAUUAAAGUUGUUGCAGUUAAAAAGCUCGUAGUUGAACUUCUAAGGAUUGAAGUCGCCUUAUGGCUUGUAUUGAUAUCCUUAUCCGCUUUGAUUUAGCAAUACGCACUUUGUUGGGCGAUUGUGUAAUCAGGCAAUUUACUUUGAAAAAAUUAGAGUGUUUCAAGCAGGCGAUUUGCUGGAAUACAUUAGCAUGGAAUAAUAGAACACGACCUCUUAGGCAUUUUAUUGGUAUAUGACUGGAGGUAAUGAUUAACAGGGACAGUUGGGGGCAUUAGUAUUGCAUUGUCAGAGGUGAAAUUCAUUGAUUAGUGCAAGACUAACUUAUGCGAAAGCAUUUGCCAAGGAUGUUUUCAUUAAUCAA
rnacentral:rRNA from 1 species